rnacentral:lncRNA from 1 species
UAUCUUUGUACAGAUCCUUUUUAUUCAGAUUUAUAUAGGCAAUUUACCAACACAGAAAACCAGUCUAGCAGCUCCAAAGUAACUGUAAAAACGGUGGUGCUGACGGUGGUGUGCCCCACACAGGGCAGGUGACCUCAGACGUGGAGCAGCAUCUCCCGUGGGAUACUAUUUCAGACGUGCACUAGUGAGUGUAUACUGAGAAGGGAUUAUAAACCUUCCCUGGCACAACAGAUACAAAAAGAGAUAGAACCAAUGAUAUUUUGUCUAGGUACAAUAUCUAGAUUUACAGUAUCUAGUUUACUGGCUUCACUUCGUAUAGCAAUGCACAAUAGAAAACGGAUUUCUUUCUUCAAGGGUAUUCAAGAAUAUAGUAAAUAUGUUACUAUAUUGAUGGCUAUGAAAACAGACAGAGACAAAUGAGUGAGGAGGCACGUUCUCUCACAGAGACAGGACUUCAUUCUAUUUCACAUAAAUCAUUAAGGGUCCAUUCAAAUAUAAGACCUCUCACAAAGUUUCAGUCAUGUAUGAGGGCGCUUACCUUUAAGACCCCAUUUCAAAACCAUUUUGAAAUAGUGAAGGGGGGAAAAAGUCACACUCAAAUGUGCUACUCUUAAAAGCAGUGUUUCUAAGCACAGCUUGCCUUUUUCAAAGAGUGAAGGUGGCCUUUCUGUUUAGUGGUUAGGUAAUUGGGUGCAAUAAUCAAAUCUUAAGGCAAUGGCAAGGCUGAUGGUGGGGAUUUGGCACAAUAAGGGGAAGGAAUGAUGCUGUCCAGUUGUACCUUAAAUCCUAAAGGAUUACUAAUGACAUGGGAGGGAUAGCUACCUGCCCCACACACAGGGGCUCCUGGACAAUACCGUGGCUUUAGAAACAAACCUAGGUUCUGAGGGAAUGACACUGCAAAGUCUUACAGAAAUCCUUUUAUGAGAUAGCCAGUCCAGAAUAAAGCCUUUGCGGUACUUGUCAACAAGCAAGAAGCCUUCUGAAGAGGUAGAUGAAAGCAGUAUUUCACAGCAGGUGUGCUGCCCGACGUGACGAAAGACAUGCAUGCGCCUCUCAGCACAGACCAGAAGAUCAACUGUUGUUGAAAACAGUCCAUGGUGGUGAGAAGAGAUGUCGGCCACAUUACUAGGUGCAUUAUUUCAAUUUUAUUGUAUUAAGAACAGGAAGGACUGCCAUUUCUUUAAAUAACAAACUAUACAAAUAAAAAGGAGCAGAAAUAAUAUGGAAUGUUUUUGACGAAAACAAACUUAUGGAUUCAAUAAAUAAUAUAAAAUGCCUUUGUGCUAAAAUAGAACUCUUGUUUCUUAUAUAUAUAUAGUUCAGUGAUCUUUAUGCUAUCCAGAAAAAGCCAGAUCUAUUAUAAUUAAACAUAGAAAAAUACCAUUUAACAAUAAAACUAAAAAAAUGGCCAGUGUUGAGCUUAUAAACCACAUAUAAUAUAUACAUCAUUUAAUAUAAUCAACUAAGAAAGUAAAUUUCAAGUUCUUUGUAAUACAAAUACACAAUUGAAAAUAUUUCUCCAUUCCCUACCCUUACAUCAAAGACAUCUGAUAUUUAGGACAAAAUUAAAAAUGGAAGCAUAGUUACCAGUUUUCAGAGAUGAUUCUGAGAUUGUUAGAUACUGGAGCGCUAACUCUACUAUACAAAGCUGAGUUAUUUAACUCUAAAUUGAAGGAUUUUUUCCCCUAUAUGUGUUUGAUGAAAUGCGUAUACUCUUAACCCAUUUUCUGUAGUUUGUGUUUUUAAUAAAGGCAAUUUAAAAUUUGGGAGCCUGCGUUUCUCAAUCAGUGCUAACACAGCCAGGUCAGAAAGACAGCCCCUUUGGGCCAGCUGUGGGGGCCUGCAGGAGUGGUUAUCUCUGUGAUUCGGCUGAAAUAAAACAACUAUCUUAGUCCUUAAGGACAAAGAAAAUAUAAAGUUCAUUGUGACUUGAGGAAGCCAAGGAGUACCAUUUUAGAGUUCAAAUUUCAUUUGUUUCAUAAUAAACUUUGUUAAAAUGUGACCUGGAUUAAAAAAAAAUCAUAUUAACAUGAAUUUAAGUAAUUCAAGUCUCUCCAGUAAACUUUACAUAGGAGGGAAAAAUCAUGUUAAAUCUUUAGGAAAAAAUUUAAACGGUUAAUUACUUAAAAAAAUUUUUUUUGUAGAGAUGGGGUCUUGCUGUGUUGCCCAGGCUGGUAACUCACCGUGGAAGUGAGCAGGGUAGAACAGAAGAGGCCUGUUACUCUUGACAGUUUUACCAGGACUUCAGUGGAUUUGUAACAGUGUCCCCAACUGACCAAUGGGGCAAUGCAUUCACAGUGAUCCAGACACUGCCUCUCCACCUCGGGGGCUGCAAAGUGCACACACACACACACACACACACACACACACACACACACACACACGGGGUGUUUUGGAGAUGGCCUGGUAAUGCUUUAGCUCUGGGUCCCCUGUGCCUCCAUGGGAGGGUGCCAGAGGGUAGGCAGAGGCAAAAGAACUUCUUCAGAAAGUCCUGAUAGGCAGCAAAUGGCUUCUGAAUGAGUUCAGCAGCUCCACAUUCAAAAACAAAGUGACCAAGUCUCAGAAUAAUUAUCAUAAGGAAAACUCUCCUGUUACAGGGGGGAAAAAAGAAACUUCACCUAUUUUAACUCAGUUAUUUCCUUGGUGCUUUAUGGUGUAAUGAUUUUUACCAGUAACUUCUUUCUUCCUUCGCCCGAUUUCUACCACUAUUCUCUUUGUGACACCCAGCCCAGCGCAUCCUCAACUGCACAUGCUGAGAACCUAUGAGCUUGAGAUGCAGACGGGAACGGCAUCAGUCACAGCUAUAAUUAACCAGGGCUGGGAAGACAUUCACUCUUUAAGAACAAUGGCUUUUCUGCUUCUGGAGUGUGUGUGUGUGUGUGUGUGUGUGUGUGUGUGUGUUUCAACAGAAUUUGAAUACUAUUCUUCCUUUUUAAAUAAGGAGAAUGCAUGUAAGUAGUACAUCCCUCCUCCCACACUGGAAAUAACAGAUAGUAGAAAAUGUAUGUUAAUUUAAACCCCAACUAGUAGUUGAGAUAGACAAAAAAAAAAACCCACAUUUUUUUUUUUGCAAAGUAACUCUUAUGAAAUAAUGGACCCUUUUGGUAAUUAUCUUCCAAACUCUCAAAAUAACUGCAUUAAAAAGUACUUACUUUGCCCAUGAACACAGCAAACAAAUACAAAAACAAAGAUUUGGAACUGCUAAAAAUAUCAAGGACAGGAUGCAGACAAUUACGAUGUCAAGUUAUUUAUACUGUUAGUAGUUAAUGUAAAGACAUACACUAAAACUACUCCAAGAAUGGGACAAAUACGUGGAUUUGUAAAAUUUUUUUUUUAAGACUGAUGACAUGGGGGAUUUCGCUGGUUCUCAUAACCCAGCAUCUAUUUGGGGGUAUCAGUGGGGCCUGGAGGCAGUGGGAGAAAACAAACUUCACAGGGCAGAUGCUGCUGGGACCAGGAAAAAGGCUUCAUGCCCUAAGGUCCUCACUGUCGUACAGCCCAGUGCAAAGUAUCAUUCAUUCAUGACAGAUGCAUGACGACAUGAAAGUCAAUAUACACAGUUAACCCAUUUUGACACAUUCAUUCCUCAGCAUUUUUUCAAUACAAUUCAUCUGAAAUUAUACUAAGACAUAAAACAGACCUGCUUUUGUACAUCCAUUACUGAUAUGUCUCCCAGGGUCAGGCAGAAGGAACCAGAAUGACUGUCACACAACUGCUAAUUGUCGAGACCUGAGACGGACUCACCCAUGAGUGCUCCUGCAUGCCAGGUACUGCUUGUCGACUCGUGCACACUGGACUCAAAGACUUUUGAAAACUGCUCUUGCCCCUGAAACCUAAAACUCCACGGCCUGUCCUUCAGAAUCACUGUAAAUCUUUCCAAUGAUGGACGGAUGAAUGCCUUCAAUGAUUAGUUAAUCCCAUACACUUGGAUAGUACGUGUCCGUCAUUCCCACCUGGCUGAGGGGGCCCCGGAACAGACUGGUCAGAGGCAGGGCAGUCAUGUGGGUGCGGCUCCCAGAGGAGGGCCCAAGUGCAGAAAUAUCUUCAACUUUUAAUAUCAUCAGAAAAUAUCUUCAACUUUUAACCCCAGGACAAGAAGUCAGUUGCGAAGUGCACAAAAGAAACACACUGUGGCUCUCCCAUCCCCCAGCAGUAUGGAGCAAAGACAUAGAAAAUCAGCAGUGACUAGACAGAAUAUGUGGCAAUGCUUAGGGCAAUCUGUUACCCAACACUGAACAUCUUUAAAUUCCAUUCUGGGGAGUCUAAGAUGUGUUUGAUAUCAGACAUAAAAAUUUACGUGAUAAGUAGGAGUCACUUCAAGUUCUAGGUUCAUAGGUACCAAAGUGUGUAGCAAAGAAAAAGAACUUUUAUUUCUUCAGUAGUUUCUAAUGCAGACAAAUGUGACAAGGCAGGGAGCUGAGCUGACCCCAAGCCGAAGGGUCCCGACUCCUCUCGG